AGUAACACGUGGGUAACCUGCCCAUCAGAAGGGGAUAACACUUGGAAACAGGUGCUAAUACCGUAUAACAAUCGAAACCGCAUGGUUUUGAUUUGAAAGGCGCUUUCGGGUGUCGCUGAUGGAUGGACCCGCGGUGCAUUAGCUAGUUGGUGAGGUAACGGCUCACCAAGGCCACGAUGCAUAGCCGACCUGAGAGGGUGAUCGGCCACAUUGGGACUGAGACACGGCCCAAACUCCUACGGGAGGCAGCAGUAGGGAAUCUUCGGCAAUGGACGAAAGUCUGACCGAGCAACGCCGCGUGAGUGAAGAAGGUUUUCGGAUCGUAAAACUCUGUUGUUAGAGAAGAACAAGGAUGAGAGUAACUGUUCAUCCCUUGACGGUAUCUAACCAG
rnacentral:rRNA from 1 species